GGUCGGGUGGCGCAAUGGUAGCGCGUGGUCCUCCUACCCAACUAAGAGGAGUUUCAAGACUGAGGUUGUGGGUUCGAGUCCCAUCUCGAUCG